AACGAACGCUGGCGGCAUGCCUAACACAUGCAAGUCGAACGGGAUCCGUCCUUCGGGACGGUGAGAGUGGCGGACGGGUGAGUAACGCGUGGGAACCUGCCCAGUGGUGGGGGAUAACUGCGGGAAACUGCAGCUAAUACCGCAUGAGCCCGAAAGGGGAAAGAUUUAUCGCCAUUGGAGGGGCCCGCGUUCGAUUAGGUAGUUGGUGAGGUAACAGCUCACCAAGCCGACGAUCGAUAGCUGGUCUGAGAGGAUGAUCAGCCACACUGGGACUGAGAUACGGCCCAGACUCCUACGGGAGGCAGCAGUGGGGAAUAUUGGACAAUGGGGGCAACCCUGAUCCAGCAAUGCCGCGUGAGUGAUGAAGGCCUUCGGGUUGUAAAGCUCUUUUGCCAGGGACGAUGAUGACGGUACCUGGAGAAUAAGCCCCGGCUAACUUCGUGCCAGCCGCCGCCGUAAUAC
rnacentral:rRNA from 1 species